AACACGACUCUCGGCAACGGAUAUCUCGGCUCUCGCACGAUGAAGAACGUAGCGAAAUGCGAUACUUAGUGUGAAUUGCAGAAUCCCGUGAAUCAUCGAGUCUUUGAACGCAAGUUGGCCCGGAGCUCGGCCGAGGGCACGUCUGCUUGGGCGUCGCAC
rnacentral:rRNA from 1 species